rnacentral:rRNA from 1 species
UACAGAGGGUGCAAGCGUUAUUCGGAAUUAUUGGGCGUAAAGCGCGUGUAGGCGGCUUUGCAAGUCGGGUGUGAAAGCCCUCAGCUUAACUGAGGAAGUGCGCCCGAAACUGCAGAGCUUGAGUACCGGAGAGGAUGGCGGAAUUCCCCAAGUAGAGGUGAAAUUCGUAGAUAUGGGGAGGAACACCGGUGGCGAAGGCGGCCAUCUGGACGGAUACUGACGCUGAGACGCGAAAGCGUGGGGAGCAAACAGG